ACCUGGGUGGCUCAGUGGUUGAGCGUCUGCCUUUGGCUCAGGUCAUGAUCCCAGGGUCCUGGGAUCAAGUCCCACAUCAGGUU
rnacentral:tRNA from 1 species